AGAGAGAGACAUGCGCGCAUAUCAAUAAGCGAGGAAAAGAAACUAACAAGGAUUCCCUUAGUAACGGCGAGUGAAGCGGGAAGAGCUCAAAUUUGAAAUCUUCAAGGUUUUACCUUGACGAAUUGUAGUUUAAAGAAGUGUUUUCUGCUGAAGUUUUGGUAAAAGUUCUUUGGAAUAGGACAUCAUAGAGGGUGAGAAUCCCGUAUUUGACCAUUAUUUUCAGCUUUGUGAUACACUUUCAAAGAGUCGGAUUGUUUGGGAAUGCAGUCCAAAAUGGGUGGUAAAUUUCAUCUAAAGCUAAAUAUUGGCGAGAGACCGAUAGGCGAACAAGUACCGUGAGGGAAAGAUGAAAAGAACUUUGAAAAGAGAGUUAAACAGUACGUGAAAUUGUCAAAAGGGAAGCGUUUGACACCAGUGUUGUUUUCUCGAAAAUCAAUUAAAAAUGGCUCGAUUUUGUAUUGCUGAGACCUUAAAAGCUCACUGUACAUUUUUCGUGUCUUUUUUAAUGCACUUUUCGUUUAACAAGUCAACAUCAGUUUCUUUUGUUGUAAAAGGGUCAUUGGAAGGUGGCUUUCUUUUCGGAGAAAGUGUUUAUAGCCUUUGGCCUCUGCAAUCGAGAGGGACUGAGGUCUGCAGCGUAGACUCUUCGGGGUUAGAUACAUUUGUGCUAAGUUAUAGCUUUUUAUAGACAACUUGUUGACUAUAAUUAGUCUUGUAGCUUACUCGCUUAUGCUAUUUUACCUACGCUUAGGAUGUUGAAGAUGUAGCACAUCAU
rnacentral:rRNA from 1 species